ACGGGGGUGGCAAGCGUUGUCCGGAAUUACUAGGCGUAAAGGGCAGGUAGGCGGAUCAGUAAGUCGGACGUUUAAUCCUCGGUCUUAAGCUGAGACAUGCGUUUGAUACUGUUGAUCUAGAAUGCGGCGGGGGCAGACGGAAUUCCGGGUGUAGCGGUGCAAUGCGCAGAUAUCCGGAGGAACACCGAAGGCGAAGGCGGCGGUCCGUUCCGCAAUUGACACUGAAAUUCGAAGGUGUGGGGAUCAAAAAG
rnacentral:rRNA from 1 species